CCUCUUUACACACAGGCACACACAUGCACACUCACACACACCCGGGCUGACUCCUUCCCUCACACGCCUACUAUCCCCUUUCGCCUGAGACCGCAGCAAGCGCAGGGCUCUGUUCUUUUUUAUUUGCUUUGCUUGCUUUGGGUCUUUCCCUCAUGUACAGCGAGACGAGUCCCAUUUCACCCCUUCUCUGCAGUGAGAGCGCCCCUGAAAACAUAGGCCCUGGAUUGUCCCUGCAUCAGACUGCACGCUACCAAUCGAUUUGUGCAUCUACUCCCUAUGAUUUUAGCUCUUUAUAAAAAAAAAGAGCUCUCUAACCUUAAUUUAAAAUCCGGUCCGUUUUGAGUCAUUUCUUCACAUACCCAUUCUGGAAGAGAGGACGAAGAAAAGAAGAGGACGCGGAAUGGACAGAUGAAAGGGGACAGCAGAAAAAAAGAGUGAGAAAAUGGAGAGCAUGUUCUGUGGGAGAACAAGUGAGACCUGACCUACGCACCCAACAUUGCCACUCCCAUUCCAUAUAGACCAAGACCUGAAAAGAAUGCUGUGGUCUACUCUCGACUUGAGUCCGUGGAAACUUCCCACUAAGAAGGAUCUAUGGGAAGAAUUUCAGUCCAGCCUCAGUAAGGUAACAUCUCUGGCAAGUUUAGAGAUGAGCCAUUAUGAGGUGGAGCCGUUCACCAACCCAACACACUCAACACAAUUGUAUGCUAUCCAAACUAGUGUCAGAUUGACUCUUUCUUUCAGGGAUCGUCAUAAGUACGUUUCCCAUGAACUUCUGUUCGCCGUUUUGUAAUAAAAGCCUUUAUACACCUCCCACCAUCAUUCAACCAAUGCCUCUGAUUGUGACAUAAUAAUAUGAUAUACUCUAUUAUCUUUGUUGUGUUGUACUUUUAUCCUCAAAUAGUUUCAUAUGUCUAUUUAGAGACUUAUAUCUAAGCGUGUUUCGUUG